AAAAGUAGGAAAAGAAACUUGAACAAGAGGAAUCUAUGUGCACUGCUGCAACCAAUAUGAAAGUUAGACUACAAAAAACCAGGUCUCUGCAGACAAGAGCUAUACCAUUUGGCGUGAAUAAGGGUUUACCUCUUCUCACACUCAAGAAGAAAAGAGUGAGGUGUGGAGGAUGAUGGCUGCAGUUUGGAUAGAGCAGUUGUCUCUGAUGUGAGUGUAAUGUUUCCAGUGAAAAUUUGCUAUGAAAACUCAUAGGUUUUCCUGGAGAUGUGUCCCUUCCCUGACAGUCUGAGGCAAAAUCUAACAGCAGUUUUUCA